AACGACCGACCACGCGCGUUCUCUUGGUCAGUACCGAGUUCAAUGUCAAUAUCAGAGGGACCGUCGCAACCGUAGUAGACUCGCUACUAUAAUAAUAUUAAUAUUAACCGUCGUUAACCGAUUGUAAUAAUUAUAUUAUAAUAUAUUAUUAUAGUGUUGUUGUUCGACAUAGUUUUCGCGUUUCCAACCGUUCUUGGAUAUUCGACACGACCAGUAGUGCAUUCGGUAUUUAUUUUUCGAUUUCUCAAAGACCGCAGGCAGCCAUGUAUCCCAAUCCGUGGAUCAGAAAGCACUCGACCAUCAGGCAAGUGAUCGACAAACUGUUGUCGAUCAACACGAACAACACGAAGAAGUUCGACGCGGUGUUCAAAAAGAAGAAAUCCACAACGGCGGCCGGUAUGGCCAAAAGAAAGCGCUGAGGGACGUCGCCGCCGCCGCCGUUCCCAUCACAACUACAAGUUCCUAUUCGACGGAAACGACGAAGCCAAACGUUUUCAGCCGUACAAUGUGCCAUCGUCCAAAGAGAUUUCUCACAAGUUUCAUCAUUUACAUUUUCAUCGACGAUCGCCCAAGUCCGCGUGAAGUUGUUCAUUGAUGACGGUUAUGUCCUGCCUGAAUGUACCUAUUGAUCUAGUUCAUAUACUGAAACCGCUACUGACGAAUACGUGUGUCGCACGUGGAUUUUACAAAUAAGGACCUCCCGGAGUGUAAAAGGAUUCCACGUGAUACGUUCUACCAUUUCUGGAUGAAAAAAAACGUUAGAAAUCUUGCAGUUGCAGAGGAGUUGAUUUUCAUCCCCGCAAGGCUACAGGGUUGAAAUGCUGCUAACUGGACACAUACAUUUGUUUUUUAUUUCAAAUGUAUUCUAGAGGAUACUAUUUUUAUUUGUAUUACUAGUAUUAUUAUACACGUGUAUGUGUGUUUUUUUUAUUUAUUUAUUAUUGUGUAUUAUUAUCUAUUGUAUAAAUUCGAACAAUUUUUUUACUGUGACACUUUUUUUUAUAUAAAAUAAAUAUGAUAAAAAUCAUUUGAUAUUAUAAUGUU